rnacentral:piRNA from 1 species
AGGGAAAUCUCUACUUCAGUUAUUCCUUU